GAUGAACGCUGACGGAAUGCUUAACACAUGCAAGUCGACUGUGGCGGACGGGUGAGUAACGCGUAAAGAACUUGCCUCACAGCUAGGGACAACAUUUGGAAACGAAUGCUAAUACCUGAUACUGUGAGAGAGCUUUGCGUCCCAUUAGCUAGUUGGGGAGGUAACGGCUCACCAAGGCGAGGAUGGGUAGCCGGCCUGAGAGGGUGAUCGGCCACAAGGGGACUGAGACACGGCCCUUAGGCCUACGGGAGGCAGCAGUGGAGAAUAUAGGACAAUGGACCAAAGUAUGAUCAAGCAAUUCUGUGUGCAAGAUGAAGUUUUCGGGAUGAAAAGUGCUUUCAGUUGGGAAGCGGUACCAACAGAAGAAGUGACGGCUAAAUACGUGCCAGCCGCCGCGGUAAUAC
rnacentral:rRNA from 1 species